CCGACACGCAAGAUUGUAAUUACAAUACCAUCCUUUACAACUUGCAGUGCAAUAAUAAACACGAAAUUUAACAAUUCCUAAAUAUCUUUCAUGAGAUCGAUUUCAAAGAAUUUAAAAGUAAAAAGAAUCGAAAAUGGCUUACCAUAUAAUCUUUCGGGACAAGGAACAAACAAACAAACACGUGAAACACAAACACGCGAGAAUCAACCCUCUCAGGGCGGCGUGCGACUGGCACGACGACUGGCAAAGAACUGCUGGGGCGGGCGGCUUGACGAGGGGCGUUAGGUAGACGACUAGGGAAAGAUUACAGGAGGCUUCGUAGAAAUCUGUUUUGUUCGGGGAAGCCGAAAUUAACGUGGAUUCAUUGGUGUUGCGAGAUGACAUGUGCGGAGUAAUGAGCCUUUUAGAUGAUUAUCGCGUAUAUGUUUUCUGAUUUUCCUCUGUUGUUGUGGCAAUUUACUUUCAGGUUCUGAUUUUGGUUGAUGAGUAUAUUAUACAGGGCUUAUGAUUAUAAAAGUUCACUGUCAAAUCUUUUUUGAAAACUCAUCGAUUUGAUUAUAUUUUUUAACCUAACGUAAUAGCAAAUAGUCAUAAGGGGUAAAUAAACUCUUUUUACAUUAUACUGAAAACAUUUAAAUAUUUUAUUCUUAUUUAUUUAAAUUGAUUGCAUUUACAUGGAAGACAUUACAUGGAAGACGUGGUGUGGGUAGGCCUCCCACAACAUGGACCGAUGAUCUAUUGAGGUUCGCGGGGAUGCGCUGGAUGCAGGGAGUGCAAGGCCGGUCUUUGUGGCGAGGCUUGGGGGAGGCCUAUGUCAGGCAGUGGACGUCUGUGGGCUGAUAAGUAUGUAUGUGUGAAAUUGACAGAUAGUUAGGCGAAAGGGGAUGGAUUAUGAUCGAGGCAGACUGGCAUGACGUGAGUCUCUUAAGCAAGAAGUCGCAGGUUCGGUACUGGGUAUUCCAUUGACUUAAACUGGUAAAAAAGUGUACGUGCGUGUAUAGAUCAAAAGCAAUUGGCAAAUCAACAGAGAGAUGAUAAUAAAAGGUUAAUUUGUUUUAUAUUGCUAUCAAUACGAGAUCACAACCCACUUGGUGCAGAGUGGUCACCGGAGCGCAUAGAAAUCCGACUGUGAAUACUACCGCCCACUUUAUCCUCACUUUAUCUUUAUCUUCAAGGUCUUCAAACUGGAGCGAACUGCUUUGCGGCAGAAAUAGGCGGAUUGGUGGCUAUCCGGACAGACCUAGAAUAUGUCCUAACACAGGUAAACAAGGUGAAGAAGUUAUUGAAAAUUUCUGGAGCGGAUCCAUUUCAACAUAAUCUCGGCGCGGUCAAUAUUGAGGAGCAUCAGCUUUCCCGUCCAGUCGUCGUGUCGUCAACGACUUCCAGUGUUGUGACACGUGAGAGAAGAGUGACGGUAAGAGGCGUGUCGGCUUGCAGAAUUUAAGUCUCGACAAUCACAUCGCUCUAUACACCAAACCAGAUGGUUCAAAUCCACUAG